CCAGGAAAAAUAUUAACGCCACUGAAAGCUAAUGCAGCACCUAAUGGCUGCUGUCUCCUGCAGGAGUUCCUGGCUGCCUGCGCCCUGUCAGGCUCAGGUGCGCAGGUUUGGCUGCAGGAGCGGACACGGCCCCUGUUCCAGGCUGGAACCUCUCAGGAGUGAAUUGGAUUUAUCUCUCCGGGCCGCUCGGGCCGAGCCGCGGCCGCCAUUGCCGCGGGGCGGGGCCGGGCCCGCGGCGCCCAUUGGCUGUGGGGGUUGGGGGCGGGGCCGGGCCCGCGGCGCCCAUUGGCUGUGGGGGUUGGGGGCGGGGCCGGGCCCGCGGCGCCCAUUGGCUGUGGGAUUUGGGGCGGGGCCUGCGGCGGGCAGAACGCCCUAUAAGGGCGCAGCCCGGAGAGAGGCUCAGCACCAGCAGCGAUGGCCGAGUGGUUAAGGCGUUGGACUUGAAAUCCAAUGGGGUCUCCCCGCGCAGGUUCGAACCCUGCUCGCUGCGGUCCGGAGGGUUUCCGUUUUUUCUUUUUCCUGCCCGCUCCUGCUCCGUGCCGGGUACAAGUUUUGCUCCUCACGGCCGCUCCCCGCUCACGGCCUCCGCAGCUCUCAAAGCGAUGGUCUGGGACUGUGGCACGGGCGGGGCAGGAAGAGCGCCCACAGCGGAUCGUCCUCCCGUGCGGGGUGACCCUGGAGCCCGUCAGGGAGGCUCACAGCCACCCCGGGCCGGCUGUUCCGUGCUCAGUCACUGAGCAGGAAAGAACCCCUUCCUUCAGGUGGCAGCUCCUGUGCAGCAGCUCCUGGUCUUUGCCUCUUGUCGUUGCUGGGCACCACCGAGCAGAGCCUGGCUCCGCCUUCCUAACACCCCCUUUGGAUAUUUGUGCUCAUUGAAGAGCCAUCUCUUUGUGACCCUGAAUAGGCCCAGCUCCCUCAGCCUUUCCUCAUGACGGAUGCUCCAGUCUCCCCAUAAUCUCUGUUGCCCUAUGACAUUUAUGCCACUACAGCUCCUCAGGCCGUGCCUACCUGCUCCUCCCCUGCUCCUGCCAGAAGGAAGUGUAGAGCUGAAGCUGCAGCCGGUCCUGGGACAAGGUUCUGGCAUUGCACCCCAAGCAGUGACAGGAGCCCUGGGUGGAGGUGAGACAAGAGCACCUGGGCUUCAGUGCUCAUUCAACAGCUCAGCUUCCAGGCCCUGCAGACAGGACAGGCAGUGUCAGCUGCAAAGCUCAGGAUCCAUCCAGUGCCUUACACACAAACAGUGUCCUGAGUCACCUGAAGGUCUGUUGUUCUACCCCACAUCCUACAGCUGAUAGAAAAUAAAUCAAAUCUUGUCAGCAGAAGGCUUCUCUAUACGGAAUGGACUUGCUCCAUCAAACCUUGCCCUUCCUGAAGGAAGCUGAUCUGAUUGCUCCUGGACCUCCAGUGCGGAGGGCCCUCAAUCCUCUUUUCCUGCCUUUCAUGACCUUCUGCACAUGCAUGAUGCACAUACACACACAAUAUGGUGUUGACGGUGAAAAAAAACACAGAAGUUAUCAUACCAUUAAUAACCAGAAAAAACAAAACAAGGCAGCGUUCCUCAGCCGUCUGUGACUGGCUUAAACUGAGCUCUCACCACCCGGAUGUGUCCGUCUCCUCCUUUGUGUGGCCCCAGCACCAACCAAGGGCUGGAAAAGUGGCAACUCUGCCAGCGGCAGGGGGAGCGUGUGCACCGGGCUGCAGUAAAAUACCCAGCACGAACGAACUGAUAAUCAUCUGCCAGCUGACAGUGACACAGCCCAAAAACCUACGGACUGGUUUAUCUUUUGCUGUGUAAUUUCAUCAGCUUUACAACAGCCUCACUGCUUACACUUUCAUAUCCUGAAAUGAGAGAUGAGCCUGCUGGGAAGACAACCCUUUGCUGCUGUUUCUACUUUGCAAAGAGUUAAAGAUCUCAGUGGGCCCCUGAAAACCACAAACGUCUGACUCUGUUGCCUUAAUCACGCCUUCAGAGAGCCUGAGAUCCACUGCACAACCCGUGCCCCAGUUACAGUUCCAGCAUGUGAAUUACGUUUGGUGCUCACCAGUGCAGGGGCCAAAGCACCCCAUAACUGCUGCUGAAAUAUCAGGUGGGACAUUCAUUGGAUCUUUUCACACUACUUGCAAAAAACUUCUAAAAGUACUGUAUAUUUAAAGAAGCAGAUAAGCAGUUUAUGCUUGGGCUGUGGACACUGAGGGAUCUGACUAAGCUGUCAGGUGCUUUCUUUACUUUCUAACACGAGGGAGAACUGGGUUGCCCACUCAUUCCAGUUAACUCUUGUUACUGGCCAACAGGUCAGGUGCCACCUGGUCUUGGGGAAUGAAAAGCAGAACAGGGUGCAUGGGCUCCUCUUGUUUUCCAAUCAAUCUGAGUUUGCUCUGCUAGGAAUAGAUUCAUUCAACUCAAGAAAUACAGAAAAACAGAUCAUUUCUCCAUGUAAAGAGAUGGGGGAAAAAAAGUUCCUAUUGGUGGCAUUGGUGUACUGGAGCACCAGUUAGAACCUGCCCUCCUCAUGAGGACAAAUACAAAUUACAGGGCUGAUCUUGAGCAGGUUGUUGCAAAACACAGUUUCUGCCACGAGCUUUUACUGGGCUAAGAGCCUUCCAAAUAUCUGCAGUUAUUCAUACAGAACAAACAUCCAAAGGUUCUUUGUCAAAACCAACCACGCAGUAAUUGGCUAAUAAUGACAUCAGUUUUAAUGACAUCAGUUUUAAUGACACAAGCUAUUAGUUUGCUGUUCAAAGGUCUAUGGUAUGUUCACUUCUCAAAGGAAACCAGCUCAUUAGGUGCUAAAUUAUCCAUCCAACGACCCCCUCUUACCUUUACUGGCAAGUGAAAUGGGCAGGGGAGAAUCUGGGCUGCCAUCUGAUUCAAAGUGCUCCAGCUGGCUGCAUUCCCAUCUUUUUGUUAGAGGGAAAAUUGUUCCCUAUUACUCAGUAUCCUUCACAUACAAUAAAAGUUUCUUCUGUUACUACCGUUUAACAUUGUUUACAGUCCCUCUAUAUAAAAUGGACCAAAAUCUUUCUUGAGAAAAUACCUUUGUAUGAAGUAAAGCAGCAAAUGCACCAGAAAAAAACAAACCAGUUACAUUUAACAACUGUUACAGAGAAUUCUUAAUCUCAUCUUACAAUAUUUUCAGCUGCAAAAUAUGCAAGGGAAAAGCAUGUAAAAUUAAAGAUUAUGUGCUAUAGAACUGGCCCUUGGUACACAUCCCUCCAGGGAGACAGAUGUCAGAUUGUUUCCAUGUAACGUGGCACUUUCCAUGGCACUGCCUAGGAUUCAGAACUGGACUCCUUAAGCUUUUACCCACUAAGAUGACAAAUAAAAAGAAAUUUCAAAGGAAUCGCUGUGGUGAGUGGAGGAUUUAAUUAAAAAGAUGAAAGAAACCCCUUUUCUGUAUGCAUGACGUUUUAUUUGCUGCUGAUGGAAUUAUCUGCCUGCACAAAACCACGUCAACACCUGACAUAUUAGCCAAGUUUGCAAAGAAGAAAACAAACACAAAAUAAAUAAACAACAAUGUAGAAUUUGAAAAGUUGCCCAAAGUAUCAAAAACUUUUCAUGUGAGAUUUUGUACACAUUAGUGCUGACUAGGCUGAUUUUUCAUUCCUCACCAUACAAAACCCUGGUAAAUCCAUGUCUAGCACACCUGAGCACAGAGGGGAAUUGCUAUAAGCAAGGACAAAGCUGGCACACAUACACA